GGUGACGUAGCCAAGUGGCAAGGCAGCGGUCUGCAAAACCGCUAUUCGUGGGUUCGAAUCCCACCGUCACCU
rnacentral:tRNA from 1 species